rfam:Isaria fumosorosea ARSEF 2679 scaffold_34, whole genome shotgun sequence.
ACAUACGACCACAGGCAGUAGAAUAACACCGCGUCCCGUUUGCUCCGCUGAAGUUAAGCUAUUGACCGGCAGAUUAGUAGUUGGGUCGGUGACGACCAGCGAACACCGGCUGUUGUAUGUU